rnacentral:lncRNA from 1 species
UAAAAUCUGAGUAAUAGAUAUAGCAAAUUAACUAAACUACUACCUGCAUUAUUUUAAAAUUUUGAAAAUUUCCACCAAUAUUAGGACGUUUGCUGGCUGCCAUCUUACAAGUGGCCACAUGGGGGCAACAAAGUACCAUACAAACUGAGACUGAGCUGGUCAAGCACCCCAUUAACCCAUAAUUCACUCAUAUUUUGUCUGGUCAUUUAAAUGACUUUAAUGAACUCUGAGUAUGUUCAGGAAAAAGAAUUGAAUCAAGGUGUAGUCCACCCUUAACCUCAGCCAUCAGGAGGGCAAGGCAGGCAGAUCUCUGGGAGUUCAAGGCUAGCUACAGCUACAUAGUGAUACCUUGCCAAGAAAGAAUGAAAGAAGAGGGGAAAGGAAGAGGAGGAGGACUAUGCCCCUGCCCCACUCCUGUCCUCCUGAGGUUUCUGACAAGCCCCUAAGGUAGGCACUAUCACCAUAUCUGUUUUAGACACAGAGAUUCUGGGAAAUUAGAAAUGUUUCCUCUUCUGAAAUGGUCCCUGAAGAGGAGCUAGGGAAAAUAUAAGAGCCAGAGAUCAAGGAAGAUUGAAGCAAAAUAGUCUUCUGGAGAGGAUGGCCCGUUGCACUUAGGAAUGCACAGCAGCUGUGGUUGGCUGCACAAGAUGAAGCCAGUGAACACCCCAGCCUGGAGUUGGCGUGGUGGUUUGAAUGUGUUUGGCUAUUAGGAGGCGUGACCUUGUUGGAGUACAUGUGGCCUUUGUUGCAGGAAGUGUAUCACCAUGGAGGUGGGCAAUGAGACCCUCCUCCUAGCUGUCUGAAGUCAAUCUUCUCCUUUUUGCCUUCAAAACAAGAAGUAGAAUUCUUAGCUCCUCCAGUGCCAUGCCUGCCUGGAUGCUGCUGUGCUUCUGGCCUUGAUGAUAAUGGACCAAACUUCUGGACCUGUAAGCCGGGGCCAAUUAAAUGUUGAACUUUAUAAGAGUUGCCCUGGGCGUGGUGUGUCUUCACAGCAAUGGAAACUCAAACUAAGACGGAAGUUAAUCCCUGGGACUGGGGUGUUGCUGUGAUGGGCCUGACCAUGGUUUUGUUUGGAGGGAUGUGGAUUUGGGGGCUUUGAAUUUGGAAAGCUAUGGAAUGCUUUAAGUAGGACUUGAUGGGCCAUCCCAGUAGGAAUAUGGAAGACAUUGGUGCUGAGGGUGAUUUGAACUCUGGAGAUCUUUCUUAAUGACGUUUUGGUGAAGAAUGUUGCUGCUUUCUACCCUUGUCUGAAAAGUCGGCCUGAGGCUAAGGUAAAGAGAUUUCGGUCAAUUGCAUUGACAAAGGAAGUCUCAGAAAAGCCCAGCAUAGACUGUGUCCUCUGGUUUACUCUCAUGAAGAGAGUUUUGAUCAAGCACAGCAAGCUUAGGCAUUGAAGAAGUUGGAAACAGAAAGCUAGUGAUAAUGCAAUAGAACAAGGGGGCCAUGUUCUAGCCCCAGCAAGCAGCAGAACUCAGCAACUUUAGCCAUGUUGCUCUGGCUUUAGAGUUAAGACUAGAAGGGCCUACUGGCAUGAUUGAUGCUGCUUAGCUGGAGCUAAGAAAUUAGUGGUGAUUAAGAAGAGACCAGCAUAAUUGAAAUGAAAUAUUCUUGCAAGUAUCUUCUGAGAGCACAAAGAAGCUGUGUUCCAGAGAUAGCCAAGGUUGUACCUCAUGCUGCAGUUGGACUUGGUAAUGUGUAAGAAUCACCCAGGUAGUACUGGUUUUGAAGGCAUGAAGGGGUCAUGGAGAGCAGCUGAGGCUUGGCACUGUGAGAGGCCAGGGAAGGUCAUUGGUGAAGGUGCAGCCUCAGUUGCAGGUAACAGCCCAGGACUUAAGGGGUCAGGCAAAGGAGGAGAAUUGGCACCAUGAAGAGAGCCUUUAAGAAGUUAUGGGUGAAACCUAAUUGUAGCCUCCCUCAGCCCUGAAGCAGGCUGAUCCAGACUUUGACCUUGCUGCCACUGAGAAGAUUACCUAGGGUGGAGCCUUCCGACCUAGAUGGCUCUUUUGUUCAGUCACCUGCCACUGCUCUCUCCAAGGCACUGCUACCUGCCAAGAAUCCCCUGAGAUGUUCUGGAGGAACCUCCUAUUCUGCACUGUCGCCUACAGGCUGGCUUCAGACACCAAGAAUGGACUGGCAGGGGAUGGGCUUUCCCCUUUUAUAGGCACACUCUCUUAGUAAACUGGUGGGCCUUGAACAGAAUCAUGUCUUGGUCUCCAUUAAUCUCUCGCCGUCUAAGUCUCUUUCAGCCCCAGCCUGCCUCCCAGGUGUACCCAGUUCAAGUAGACCACAGGCUGGCAUACAACAGAUUGGUGUCUGAGCCAGGGACCUUGAGAACGGCGGGAAAGCACUCAGGGAAUCACUGUCUUGUAUGGAACUCCAAGGGGAGAAAAGAAUCAGAGAUCGAAUCGGGCAUGGUGAGCAACAGGAUUUGACAGCGAAAUAGGUGUGGGACUAGAAACUGUGAAUCAGGAGGUUGUCCACAGCUUUUAAAAGCUGUUUCAGAAGUCGGGUGUGGUGGCACAUGCCUUUAAUCCCAGCACUCGGGAGGCAGAGGCAGGCGGAUUUCUG